AGCUUAACAGUUUUGAGGCCUCAUGCACAGAAAUGAAGGGUUAUGGAGCUGCAGUGGUGCUCAACCAACUGUCCUGGUAAAAUUAUUUAGGAGGUAAAAGAACAUUCCCCACAUUAGGAGCCAAAAAGCCAGGUACUGGUGCCAGUGGCAUAGGAAGUUACUGGAAACCAGGAAAAUAUAUCAGGGAGCAAGCUCAAAGUAGACUGGACCAGGCUGAAUCCAGCAGUCACAAGCUGGAUGGACACCCCAUGAGCACGUAUUGGAGUUCAUGGCUGCACAUCCC